UAUCCUUUAUUAGUGUUUAACUACUUGUGCAAUCCACAGUAAUGGGAUGGCAAUAUACAUUACAUUUUACAUUAUUAGGUUUGAAUUAAGUGAAAUACAAAAUAUACAAGCCCAUUUUACAUAUAACCUGAAGUGGCAAAAUAUACACACCUAACAGGCCUGAGCCAUACUUUUUAGAUAUUUUUGGAGAAAACCCUGAAUAACUUUUAGAGACAUGGUAUUUGCAUGGAAAUCCACCCUUUGGUUAUAGUAACUCAGUGAACCACUUGCCAACUGUAAUACAACAUAUAACAUGUUCUAGAAAACACCUUCAACUAAGCCAGGCAAUUGCUUAGGGCAUUGUACUAUUUUAGGAAGUCCCAAUGGUUAAAAACCAAUGGGGCACCAUUUAAAACAGUAAAUUACAAGUAUCUGUGUGCUUACUAAAGGAACAUGUAAGAGAGCAAGUAAUGUACUGGAAGUAUAAAUUUUCAGUGUCAA